rnacentral:rRNA from 1 species
GCGGCAGCGCGGGANUCAGGCAACUGAGCCCUGGCGGCGAGCGGCGAACGGGUGAGUAAUACAUCGGAACGUACCCAGUUGUGGGGGAUAGCCCGGCGAAAGCCGGAUUAAUACCGCAUACGACCUGAGGGUGAAAGUGGGGGACCGCAAGGCCUCACGCAAUUGGAGCGGCCGAUGGCGGAUUAGCUAGUUGGUGGGGUAAAGGCCUACCAAGGCGACGAUCCGUAGCUGGU